GUCCACGCCGUAAACGAUGAGAACUAGAUGUCGGGAGGAUUUGCCUUUCGGUGUCGCAGCUAACGCGUUAAGUUCUCCGCCUGGGGAGUACGCCGGCAACGGUAAAACUCAAAGGAAUUGACGGGGACCCGCACAAGCGGUGGAGCAUGUGGUUUAAUUCGAUGCAACGCGAAGAACCUUACCUGCCCUUGACAUUGACAGAAUCCUGUAGAGAUACGGGAGUGCUUCGGCCUGGAAAACAGG
rnacentral:rRNA from 1 species